rnacentral:rRNA from 1 species
UACGUAGGUGGCAAGCGUUGUCCGGAUUCAUUGGGCGUAAAGGGUGCGUAGGCGGCGCGGUAAGUCGGGUGUGAAAUUUCGAGGCUUAACUUCGAAACUGCAUUCGAUACUGCCGUGCUUGAGGACUGGAGAGGAGACUGGAAUUUACGGUGUAGCGGUGAAAUGCGUAGAUAUCGUAAGGAAGACCAGUGGCGAAGGCGGGUCUCUGGACAGUUCCUGACGCUGAGGCACGAAGGCCAGGGGAGCAAACGGG